UGCGGAAGGAUCAUUGUYGA
rnacentral:rRNA from 1 species